UACGUAGGUGGCAAGCGUUGUCCGGAAUUACUGGGUGUAAAGCGCGUGUAGGCGGCAGACCAAGUCGGCGGUGAAAGCGCCCGGCUCAACUGGGCGAGGUCCGUGGAAACUGGUCAGCUGGAGGACGGUAGAGGCGAGUGGAAUUCCCGGUGUAGUGGUGAAAUGCGUAGAGAUCGGGAGGAACGCCUGUGGCGAAGGCGGCUCGCUGGGCCGGUCCUGACGCUGAGACGCGAAGGCGUGGGGAGCGAACGGG
rnacentral:rRNA from 1 species